rnacentral:lncRNA from 1 species
CCUCAUAGGGUACCGGUGGCCUCUGCCGAGCAAGCUUUGUGCAGUCUGGAUUUACCUGGACGUGCUCUUCUCCACGGCCUCCAUCAUGCACCUCUGCGCCAUCUCGCUGGACCGCUACGUCGCCAUCCAGAAUCCCAUCCACCACAGCCGCUUCAACUCCAGAACUAAGGCAUUUCUGAAAAUCAUUGCUGUUUGGACCAUAUCAGUAGGUAAGUG